UAAAGUAUUUUUAAUACCUUUUGCAGAAAAUGUGUUGUUUAUUUUAUAGUAGUGCCUAGGAUUCCCAAUCAAGGAUCAGAGCUCCACUGUCCCAGGCACUGUACAGACAGAGCUUUGCUAUUCACCUUUUUAAAAGUGCGUAUGCCUUUCUUCAAAAAACUGCACAUACCCUUGUGGAACCUCACAGCAUAUUUUUUCAGCUAAUGGCCCAUUAGCUGUAUCACUAUUCAUGGUAUGUUGUCUGUUCAUCCUGGAUGAUACAUUGUCCAGGUUUAGACAUCUUUUUACAUUCCUUUUGCACUUAAACUUCUUUGUUUGCAGGACUCACCAGUUUAAAGUGCCCUCAAGACCCCACAUGGUGGUAUUGGAAUGGAAACUGUUAUUACCUAGAAAGGAAAGAGACUAUGCGGUGGGAGCAGGCUCUGGACCAAUGUGCAUUGUAUAAGCAUGCUAGUCUUCUCCAAAUAGAUAGUGCAGAAGAAAAGGAUUUGAGAGACAGUUGGAUGAGAAGAGCCUUGUGGGAGUUUUAGUAACAGCAGGAAAUUGUUACUGUUUCAGAUGUGGGUGGCUUUCAUGCUGGAGAGUGGCACCUGGAUUGGUUUGUCAAAGCAGCAGUCUAGUGCCUGGCAAUGGACUAGUGGACACGGUGCUAAUCUUGCACUCAGAUGGCUUUCAGACAUUAAAAGGGGUCAAAGUGGUUGCGCUCAGAUGAAGAAAGGAGGAGAACUUAUGGCUACUGGUUGCUCCACACGCCUGCACUGGGUCUGUGAAAAACAAGCAGGUGGUGAUCUAAAGAACCAGUAGUCGUGUCUACAGCUAAUUGUGUAGGAUCUUAUAAGAUGCUUUUCACGAUAUAUCUGAUUGCAUGUUGCUGCAUAUGUACUAUACCCGGGGAAUGCAGAUUCCAAAGCUAGCUAACUCUAUGUGCCAAGUAU
rnacentral:lncRNA from 1 species